AAGAAAAGUGGCAAGAAACAAGCCAAGUUAGAGCUGGGCAUUCAAAACUAAGAAUAAGCCUCAGUGUGUGAUUUAUUUGAGAGCUGGAUGGUAGGCCCCCCAAAAAACUAAAGAGCCAAAAGAGCAAAACAUCACACAGCAGCAGAUCCACUCGUGGGGUCCACAGGGUUGGCAGAUCCUGUUAAGACCAGCCUCACCUGGCACACCGGCCAUUGCUGGGAGCUGUGUGCUAUCAGCUGAGAAACAGAGAAUGGGGCGGGCGGGCCAUGGCUAGGGAGCAGUGCCGGCAUGACCUCUGGUGGCCCAGGACUGGGGAUAGGUGUGAACUCAUCCUCGAUACCUUCAGAAUUCUCAAGCAUCGCCAUUCCCGUGUAAGACUUUUGUGUUUGUGUGGGGAGAAGGCUCAACGCUGAAGAGCCUAGCGUUCCAGCUCCUUCCACAGAGCUGCCCUAGAUCACUAUUCUGAGGCACUCAGAACACUCUCUGCCCCGGGUCUGUUUUCUGCUUUAAAUUUCAGACUCUAUAACUCUACACCCUGCUGGCUCCACAUCUAUCCAUGUCUUCAAUGUCCCCACCCUUCAGAUGCGCCUUGCAUGGGACUCACCUGGCUCUUGUGGAGAAGCCACGAUCCGGGAGACCGAGCUGAGCAAGCCGCUGCACAUUGGUGUGGUGAGGAUGCUGUGCCUAGCUCUCUUGCAUCGGUUCCUUAGGAUGGACACUUCCUGCCCCCAAGCCUGAGGCCCCUUUGGCUGGUAACCUGCAGGGACACACUGCCAGGUCCAAAUUAACAUGUUCCUCAAGUCAUUUGACUCUGCAAAGCUACCUCAAGACCAAGCUACUUAGAGGGCUGAGUGGGGUCUGAGAGCGUUUAUGCUGUUGGGCUCCUGAUGGAAUGAGCCUGGCAUUAUCUGGCAAGAGUGGCUGUGGGGACCAAGGCAAGUGACCCUCUGGCCACAUAUGCCAAGGUCCUGCUCUCUGAAACCUAGCAAAGAACAUUAUAUCAUUCAAUUGUCAUGUGCUCUUUGAGUUCACUGAGAUGUUGGGUUGUACCCUCCCUGCCUCAGACCCAAGCACGUUUGUGUCAAGUGUCCUGCGACUCAACCCGAGAUGGGAAACAGCCUAAGAAUAGAAACACUGUGUUCUUGAGAACAGCUAGAAGGGAAGCCAUUUCCAACAGAGGCUACUACUGUUUAUCACACGGUAUAAAAGUGCCUGCAGUAGAAGUGGAGAGUGGAAGUUCAGCCAUGGAGAGCAAGCUCAAGCUGAGCCCCAGCUGACUGCCUCAACCUCCCUGUCUGUUUCUGAUGGAUGAUGUUAUCUGCCUUCUGCCCUUGGCCCUUUCAGUGGGAAGCUCAUUCAUGGCAAAUCUACUCUGCUGUCGGGACUCUUGACUGAGAAUUCGAGCAUGGUCACUCAGGCAUGGCUUCCCUAGUCAUCUGGAUACUGUGGAUGCCCCGGUUUGAUGGGGUUUUGUUAUCCAGCAGCUGCUUCUAUCUGCUCCUUACUGUCUAUUCUUUUCCUUGUGCACAGUGUAUACUUAAUAGAUAAAAACACUCAUUUGACAUGGAAA